UGGGGAAUAUUGCACAAUGGGGGAAACCCUGAUGCAGCAACGCCGCGUGAAGGAAGAAGGAUUUCGGUUCGUAAACUUCUAUCAGCAGGGAAGAAGAAUGACUUAACCUGACUAAGAAGCCCCGGCUAACUACGUGCCAGCAGCCGCGGUAAUACGUAGGGGGCAAGCGUUAUCCGGAAUUACUGGGUGUAAAGGGUGAGUAGGCGGUUUAGUAAGUCAUAUGUGAAAAUUCAACGCUCAACGUUGAACGUGCAUAAGAAACUGCAAGACUAGAGUACAGGAGAGGUAAGCGGAAUUCCUAGUGUAGCGGUGAAAUGCGUAGAUAUUAGGAAGAACACCGGUGGCGAAGGCGGCUUACUGGACUGAAACUGACGCUGAGUCACGAAAGCGUGGGGAGCAAACA
rnacentral:rRNA from 1 species